rnacentral:rRNA from 1 species
AGUUUGAUCCUGGCUCAGAUUGAACGCUGGCGGCAGGCCUAACACAUGCAAGUCGAGCGGUAGCACAGAGAGCUUGCUCUCGGGUGACGAGCGGCGGACGGGUGAGUAAUGUCUGGGAAACUGCCUGAUGGAGGGGGAUAACUACUGGAAACGGUAGCUAAUACCGCAUAAUGUCGCAAGACCAAAGAGGGGGACCUUCGGGCCUCUUGCCAUCAGAUGUGCCCAGAUGGGAUUAGCUAGUAGGUGGGGUAACGGCUCACCUAGGCGACGAUCCCUAGCUGGUCUGAGAGGAUGACCAGCCACACUGGAACUGAGACACGGUCCAGACUCCUACGGGAGGCAGCAGUGGGGAAUAUUGCACAAUGGGCGCAAGCCUGAUGCAGCCAUGCCGCGUGUAUGAAGAAGGCCUUCGGGUUGUAAAGUACUUUCAGCGGGGAGGAAGGUGUUGUGGUUAAUAACCUCAGCAAUUGACGUUACCCGCAGAAGAAGCACCGGCUAACUCCGUGCCAGCAGCCGCGGUAAUACGGAGGGUGCAAGCGUUAAUCGGAAUUACUGGGCGUAAAGCGCACGCAGGCGGUCUGUCAAGUCGGAUGUGAAAUCCCCGGGCUCAACCUGGGAACUGCAUCCGANACUGGCAGGCUUGAGUCUUGUAGAGGGGGGUAGNAUUCCNAGGUGUAGCGGUNANAUGCGUAGAGAUCUGGAGGAAUACCGGUGGCGAAGGCGGCCCCNNGG